CAGUGAUGGGUCUUUAAUAGGGCUGGGAUGUUUCGGCCUGUUCUAGAGUCCUCUCCCUGUACAAGUCGCCCUUAUCUCUAUCUCUGUUUUCACGUCGGUUGAAUAUCACAAAUCAAACUGAAAUAGAGAGGAAGGAAAACGUGAUUUUUCAGAGAUUUGGUGAUCAUCCAGCGCAGCAUAGAGCGAGAUCAGGUGUGUGCCGAGACGAAAGAGAAUAGAAAGAGAAGGGAGUUUGGUCUGCAACAGAAGAGAAGAGAAGAGAAGAGGACAGAGUACCUUCUUCUUGGCGAAUUUCUACAGCCGACAAGUCAGUGCCCCGCCUCAGAUUAAGUCUCUGCCUCUUUCUUUCAUCUUAAGUGUGGUUGUGCAGUCAUAGAAUUCGUAGCUUUCUGCUAUAGGAUUUGUAGAAGUAGAGAUACAUGUGGGAAACGAUAGAGAUCUGAAGAGGUGAAAGAGUUCGCAUAGGUGCGGAUUUCCCUCUAUUCAGGUUUUAUUUUAAGAACAGCUUAGUACAGUGGACUGACUUGGCACAAUUCGACCUCGCCAUCAUCAUGUGUUGUUCAGAUUUUAUUUGAAUCUGCUAGGGGCUUGAUUUAUGUGAAAAGACUAAAAAGAGUUUUGCUCGAGUCAAAGUUAUUGCGUGUUUGUUUGCCUGGCAUUUCCAUUUGAUCAAAUGGUGCAAGAUAUCAAGGAGUUUUCCUGAGUUAGGAUAAAGGUCCAGUUUAUAUUAAGCUUUUUCUCAAGAUCGACAACAUGGGUUGCUCUGUAUAGAGUACACUGACAGAGAGAGGAGAGGGAGAACUUGAUCGGGUUGGCAGCUGAGACGAAGGCCACUUCAUCUUUUCGACGAAAUUAGUUUCUAUUGCGAUGAGAGAGAGAGAGUGCGGAUCCGGAAAAGCAAGGGACGGUCAAUCCAUAGAGGUUAUCCAAUUAACCGAUAAGUUGUUUUUCAAAAAGCAGGGACACUGUUCAUUACCGAUUUUGUCCUACUUUCUUAUACUGUAUUCUACUUUCUUCUACGUCUUUCCCUUUUCUUCUUCUCUAUUAUAUUUCAGAGGGCAUCUACAUUUCUGAGUAGGGAUUUGACAAACCUCUGUCACCAAAAUCUCUGGAACCGAACCCUGAAUCUGGCACAAACUUUGCUCCAACAAGUUCCUUGCUUUAUAAAAUCUUGAGACUAGAACAUAAUAACAUCCCCGGUAAACGCCUGCAAGUGAUUAGGGAGAAUUAUCAACCAUAGGAUGAGUGGGAGCUACAGAGAUCAUAUUGAACCGGAUACACCCAGCAUAUAACAAGAAAAAAAAACUCUAGUAUAUUAUACAUGUGAUGAUAUAUAUUUUCUAUAUAUUAUAUGCCGGUUGCAAUUUAAACAGUGUAGCUACAGUAACGUGUUGAGCUAAAAUACUUUUUUGGCAGUUGCAAUUAAAACAGUGUAGCUACAGUACGUGCUGGGUUACAGUGACAGAAUUUUUUUUCUUUGCGCGGCGGUAAAAAAAAAAAAGCUUUUUUGGGGAUAAUACUGUGUUACAAUAUAAAAAAUAAGGCUUGAAAACGCCCGUCAUAGUAUAUACUUUUAUUUUUUAUAUAUUAUAUGCCGAUUGCAAUUUAAACAGUGUAGCUACAGUAUCGCUACAGUACACGCUGGGGUACAACGACGGGCUCGGGCUCUUAAUUGGGAAAGAUAGUAUUGCCCCCCAUAGGGCAGCGAGGAGCAUGCUGUGGAACCAUUGUUGCCAGCGCUUUCCCGGGCUAUCUCACGAAGAUCCAUAAUAGGAAAGAUGCCAGUGGUUUCGGGAUCCCGUAGAAAAUGCUUCGUUUAUGCCUCGGGUAUUAGCCACCACCACUUCACCUCUUUGUUGG